UACGAAGGGGGCUAGCGUUGUUCGGAAUUACUGGGCGUAAAGCGCGUGUAGGCGGGCCGUUAAGUCGGGGGUGAAAGCCCAGAGCUCAACUCUGGAACUGCCUUCGAUACUGGCGGCCUGGAGCAUGAUAGAGGCGAGUGGAAUUGCGAGUGUAGAGGUGAAAUUCGUAGAUAUUCGCAGGAACACCAGUGGCGAAGGCGACUCGCUGGAUCAUUGCUGACGCUGAGACGCGAAAGCGUGGGGAGCAAACAGG
rnacentral:rRNA from 1 species